rnacentral:rRNA from 1 species
CACGUAGGGGGCGAGCGUUGUCCGGAUUUAUUGGGCGUAAAGAGCGUGUAGGCGGCCACACAGGUCUGCUGUGAAAACUCGAGGCUCAACCUCGAGCUGUCGGUGGAAACCGUGUGGCUAGAGUCCGGAAGAGGAGAGUGGAAUUCCCGGUGUAGCGGUGAAAUGCGCAGAUAUCGGGAAGAACACCCGUGGCGAAGGCGGCUCUCUGGGACGGUACUGACGCUGAGACGCGAAAGCGUGGGGAGCGAACAGG